CCACGUGUGUAGAUAUAUCUAAACUAAAUUCUAACUAAAUGUAUACUCUCCCUAACGUCUCUCAAAAGAAGGGAUCGAAACACCGUCUCGGAACACUUUCGCUUCAAACGCUCGGCACUGUGUCGAGCAAACUGGCUCGACUGUAACAUCACUAUUUUUCCCCUUCCAUCUUUAUGUGAUGUGCGGUGCAUUUAGUGACAGCCUGCUUUACUUUGUUUAGUGACGCUGGGAGACGGGUCGCUCCGUUCAGCGUGCCGUGGGUGCUUCUGUGACGACAGGGUAAGCUACGUGGUCCGUAUUAUGUGAUCUGAUGUGUUAACUCAUGUGUUGUUGUGUGGUUGCUGCAGUCUAUUUGCUGCUGUUUUCGUUGGAUCUCCUCCGCCUGCAUUGCUGCUAUGCUGCGCCACGGCUAACCGGGUUUGAUGAGCCUCGGCGGCAGUUUAAUCCCUGGUGGUGGUUCACGGAUCCCCUUUUUCCUUGGUGUGUUGUGUCACAGCGGAAUUAAGUGGAAGAAUUCUUGGAGCCCCUGUCUUGCCUCCGGAGUUCAGCAACUGAGGCAAGUGUUGAUGGAUCACACUGCCCUGGAGGAGGAGGAGGAGGAGGAGGAAGAGGAGGAGGAGGAAGAGGAAAAGGAGGACCUCGUUCACAAUGACGACCACGCCUGAAACCUGCUGUUCAUGAAUUUUGUUAUUUUGCAAUAAAGCACACUGUUCAAAAUCCUGUUUUUAUUUUCUUUGUUACUGAUUUUGUGUUGAAAGAAAGUAUUGCUGCUGAUAAAGUAUAAAGUCUAACAUUUACCAAAUAAUUCCUUCAGAAUGAUGAAGGUUUCUGUACCAGAAGACUGUUUAUGGGAUGUUUUGGAGGAUAUAUUCAAUGUAUUGACAAGGAGAAUUCACUACACAUCUUCAGAAACAUCUGCAAACUGCAUCUAAAACGUAUUACAAAAAGCGUUUUGAAAAGGUUGAAGUGGGGCUGUGGGCCGGUGGGGCGCCGUGGGGGUCCGCUAUGGCCCGUUCUGCUGCGCGGGCCUUGGGGCUCUGGCUGUGUCGGGGGGGGGGGGUCGCUCCGGGCUCCUGGGCUGGGUCUCCGCUUGGUGGCUCCUGCGGGGGGGCUGGGUGGACCUCCUUGGGCUGGAGGGGACAGCUCCUUCCUUUUGGUGGAGGUUUUCAUGCAUGCCAGACCCACCACACCGGCACCUACCAAAACUCAAUAGAGUGUGUUCCUCCGGUUGCUGAGUCAAUGGAGGUUGCUGGGUUAGUGUCUGUGGAUCUCACUCUGCUUUAUCUAUCUUUCUUGUGGCCUCCAGACAUCUUCAUGAUUGAUCCAGUUAGGAUUUUGUUGUAUUAGGUGUUUGUGAAGGGUUUUAGAUUUGUAAAUGGUCUUAAGGUGUGAAUUAAAGAGUACAAACAAAUAAAAUGCACCUUUUCUCUCAGAA